GACGAACGCUGGCGGCGUGCUUAACACAUGCAAGUCGAACGGAAAGGCCUUGCUUUUGUGGGGUGCUCGAGUGGCGAACGGGUGAGUAACACGUGAGUAACCUGCCCUUGACUUUGGGAUAACUUCAGGAAACUGGGGCUAAUACCGGAUAGGAGCUCCUGCUGCAUGGUGGGGGUUGGAAAGUUUCGGCGGUUGGGGAUGGACUCGCGGCUUAUCAGCUUGUUGGUGGGGUAGUGGCUUACCAAGGCUUUGACGGGUAGCCGGCCUGAGAGGGUGACCGGCCACAUUGGGACUGAGAUACGGCCCAGACUCCUACGGGAGGCAGCAGUGGGGAAUAUUGCACAAUGGGCGGAAGCCUGAUGCAGCAACGCCGCGUGCGGGAUGACGGCCUUCGGGUUGUAAACCGCUUUCGCCUGUGACGAAGCGUAAGUGACGGUAAUGGGUAAAGAAGCACCGGCUAACUACGUG
rnacentral:rRNA from 1 species